rnacentral:rRNA from 1 species
UACGUAGGGUGCAAGCGUUAAUCGGAAUUACUGGGCGUAAAGCGUGCGCAGGCGGUUCUCCAAGUCAGUGGUGAAAGCCCGGAGCUCAACUCCGGAACUGCCAUUGAAACUGUAGAGCUAGAGUACGAGAGAGGUGAGUGGAAUUCCCAGUGUAGAGGUGAAAUUCGUAGAUAUUGGGAAGAACACCAGUGGCGAAGGCGGCUCACUGGCCCGAUACUGACGCUGAGGCACGAAAGCGUGGGGAGCAAACAGG